rnacentral:rRNA from 1 species
GCAUAUCAAUAAGCGGAGGAAAAGAAACUAACAAGGAUUNCCCUAGUAACGGCGAGCGAAGCGGGAAGAGCUCAAAUUUGAAAGCUGGCACCUCCGGUGUCCGCGUUGUAAUCUCGAGACGUGUUUUCCGUGCGGCUCUAUGGACAAGUCCCUUGGAAUAGGGCAUCGUAGAGGGUGAGAAUCCCGUACUUGCCAUGGAAGAACCGUGCUUUGCGAUACACGCUCUAAGAGUCGAGUUGUUUGGGAUUGCAGCUCAAAAUGGGUGGUAGACUCCAUCUAAAGCUAAAUAUCGGGGAGAGACCGAUAGCGAACAAGUACCGUGAGGGAAAGAUGAAAAGCACUUUGGAAAGAGAGUUAAAAGUACGUGAAAUUGUCGAAAGGGAAGCACUUGAAGUCAGCCAUGCUGCUUGAGACUCAGCCUGGCCUUUGGGCUUGGUGUAUUUCUCGGUGGCAAGCCAGCAUUGGUUUGGGUCGUCGGAGAAGCGCAUAGGGAAUGUAGCGUUUCCGGACGUGUUAUAGCCUUAUGCAGGAUACGACGACCUGGAUCAAGGAACGCAGUGUGCCCUCUGGGCGGGUCUUCGGACACCUUCACACUUAGGAUGCUGGCGUAAUGGCUUUAAGUGGCCCGUCUUGAAACACGGACC